GAUGAACGCUGGCGGCGUGCUUAACACAUGCAAGUCGAACGAUGACCUCCAGCUUGCUGGGGUGAUUAGUGGCGAACGGGUGAGUAACACGUGAGUAACCUGCCCUUGACUCUGGGAUAAGCCUGGGAAACUGGGUCUAAUACCGGAUAUGACUCCUCAUCGCAUGGUGGGGGGUGGAAAGCUUUUUUGUGGUUUUGGAUGGACUCGCGGCCUAUCAGCUUGUUGGUGAGGUAAUGGCUUACCAAGGCGACGACGGGUAGCCGGCCUGAGAGGGUGACCGGCCACACUGGGACUGAGACACGGCCCAGACUCCUACGGGAGGCAGCAGUGGGGAAUAUUGCACAAUGGGCGCAAGCCUGAUGCAGCGACGCCGCGUGAGGGAUGACGGCCUUCGGGUUGUAAACCUCUUUCAGUAGGGAAGAAGCGAAAGUGACGGUACCUGCAGAAGAAGCGCCGGCUAACUACGUGCCAGCAGCCGCGGUAAUACGUAGGGCGCAAGCGUUAUCCGGAAUUAUUGGGCGUAAAGAGCUCGUAGGCGGUUUGUCGCGUCUGCCGUGAAAGUCCGGGGCUCAACUCCGGAUCUGCGGUGGGUACGGGCAGACUAGAGUGAUGUAGGGGAGACUGGAAUUCCUGGUGUAGCGGUGAAAUGCGCAGAUAUCAGGAGGAACACCGAUGGCGAAGGCAGGUCUCUGGGCAUUAACUGACGCUGAGGAGCGAAAGCAUGGGGAGCGAACAGGAUUAGAUACCCUGGUAGUCCAUGCCGUAAACGUUGGGCACUAGGUGUGGGGGACAUUCCACGUUUUCCGCGCCGUAGCUAACGCAUUAAGUGCCCCGCCUGGGGAGUACGGCCGCAAGGCUAAAACUCAAAGGAAUUGACGGGGGCCCGCACAAGCGGCGGAGCAUGCGGAUUAAUUCGAUGCAACGCGAAGAACCUUACCAAGGCUUGACAUGGACCAGACCGGACUGGAGACAGUUCUUCCCCUUUGGGGUUGGUUCACAGGUGGUGCAUGGUUGUCGUCAGCUCGUGUCGUGAGAUGUUGGGUUAAGUCCCGCAACGAGCGCAACCCUCGUUCUAUGUUGCCAGCACGUGAUGGUGGGGA
rnacentral:rRNA from 1 species